rnacentral:ncRNA from 1 species
UUUAAGUUUUAUUCUUGCUUUUUCGUUCAAUUCUUAUUUGUUCUAUAUGUAAGUUUUUGCGUUAAUUUUCUUUUGGUCCUAGAUGGGUCAUGGAUUUAUAAUAUAAUUCUCAUUAGUUAUUAUUGGUUGGUCAAGUAUCCUUGUAUUUAGCAAUAUAUUGUAGUUUCGGUUAAAUUUUGUGCCAGCAGCCGCGGUUAUACCUUGGAGGCAUUUGAAUGUGUUUGGCAAUAGGUAGUUAUAUUAUUUAGUUUGUUUGAUUUUGAUUUUGUGUUGAGUUGUUAGGUGAAAUUUUUAUUUCUGUUGUUUUUCUUAUAGUUAUUUGGAAGCUAUGAAAUUCUUUUUGUAAACUAGGAUUAGAUACCCUAUUAUUUUGGAAUGUAAAUUGUUGUUUUGCUUGAGUAGUAUUAGUUAUGUUCUUGAAACUUAAAGAAUUUGGCGGUAUCUCAUUCCGUCCAGAGGAAUCUGUCUCGUUAUCGAUAGUCCACGUUGGACCUUACUUGGUUGCUUUGGUUUGUAUACCGCCGUUUAUUGAUUAUCUUUUUAGGGGUUAUAAAUUUUCUUGUUUCUUUAUUUUGAUUUAUUUCAGGUCAAGGUGCAGCUUGUUUCUAAGUGAAUGAUGGAUUACAUUGUUAUUUGUUUUAUUGGAUUGUUGAUUUUAAUGUCGGCAUGAAAUUGGAUUUGGUUGUAAUAAUUUGUAGAUUGUUAUUUUGAUAAUAGGUUCUGGGAUAUGUACACAUCGCCCGUCGCUCUCGUUUAUUUUGUUAAUGAGAUAAGUCGUAACAAAGUGGUUGUACCGGAAGGUGCGGCUGGAUUGAA